rnacentral:tRNA from 1 species
GGCGGCGUAGCUCAGUGGUAGAGCAGGAGAAUCAUAAUCUCUUGGUCGGUGGUUCAAAUCCGCCCGCCGCUACCA